rnacentral:rRNA from 1 species
GAUGAACGCUGGCGGCGUGCCUAAUACAUGCAAGUCGAGCGAACAGACGAGGAUCUUGCUCCGCUGACGUUAGCGGCGGACGGGUGAGUAACACGUGGAUAACCUACCUAUAAGACUGGUAUAACUUCGGGAAACCGGAGAUAAUACCGGAUAAUAUAUUGAACCGCAUGGUUCAAUAGUGAAAUACGGUGUUGCUGGCACUUAUAGAUGGAUCCGCGCCGCAUUAGCUAGUUGGUAAGGUAACGGCUUACCAAGGCAACGAUGCGUAGACGACCUGAGAGGCGGAUAGGCCACAUUGGAAGUGAGACACGGUCCAGACUACUACGGGAGGCAGCAGUAGGGAAUCUUCCGCAAUGGGCGAAAGCCUGACGGAGUAACGGCGCGUGAGUGAUGAAGGUCCUCGGAUCGUAAAACUCUGUUACUAGGGAAGAACCAAUGUGUAAGUAACCAUGCCCGUCUUGACGGUACCUAAUCAGAAAGCCCCGGCUAACUACGUG